rnacentral:tRNA from 1 species
UGUCCGAUGGUGUAAUGGUAACACAGCAGUUUUUGGUACUGCUUUUCCAGGUUCGAAUCCUGGUCGGACAA